rnacentral:rRNA from 1 species
GACGUAGGAGGCGAGCGUUGUCCGGAUUCAUUGGGCGUAAAGAGCACGCAGGCGGUUUGGCAAGUCGGAUGUGAAAACCCGGAGCUCAACUCCGGACCUGCAUCCGAAACUGCCCGACUAGAGGUAGGUAGGGGAGAUCGGAAUUCCUGGUGUAGCGGUGAAAUGCGCAGAUAUCGGGAGGAACACCAGUGGCGAAGGCGGCUCGCUGGACCGGUUCUGACGCUGAGGCGCGAAAGCGUGGGAGCAAACGGG